UUUUUUUUUUUUUUUUUUUGCUUUUUAGGGCUGCAUCUGCAGUGUAUGGAAGCUCCUAGGCUAGGGGUUGAAUCGGAGCUACAGCUGCCAGUAAACUCCACAGACAUAGCAACGUCGGUUCCUUAAUCCACUGAGCAAGGUCAGGGAUUGAACCUGUAUCCUCAUGGAUCCUAGUCGGUUUCGUUAACCACUGAGCUACGAAGGGAAUUCCCCGAUCCUAUGAUGUUUUGAUGGGACAUUAGAAGCCUGUCAAGAGCGUUUUGACAGGAGUAACAAAUGUCAGCCCAGUACCCAGGGAAAGCCUGUUUAACAAGAGAUAAUUGCAAAAAGUACGAGACCUCCUGAGCUCACCACAUUCUUAUAAGGAAACUUUGCUUCACCAAAGACUCCUAGAUGGUGUAAUCUCUUUAAAAUUUAGGGGACUAAAGGGGCCCCAAGAAACCACUCGUAGGCCCUCUCUCUGCUCUACUCAAAGGCAGAUAAUAGCUGAAGAACAGUACAGAAGCCUUUCAGGCAGUGAUAAGCUCUCUUUUUUUUGGAGAAAUUUUGCUCAUUUAUGUAGUUCCCAACAUUAUAAAAUUAAAAAAAAAUAAAAACCAUUCAUUUAAGAAAAAGUAACUGGUAAAAAAUUAUAAAAUUUUUAAAAAUAAAAACCAUUCAUUUAAGAAAAAGUAACUGGUAAAAGUAGAUAAAAUGAUGAAUAUUUUUCAAAAUAAGAAUGAGUUUUCCUUUUUUUUUUUUUUUUUAAUUUAUUUUUUUGACUACACCUGCAGCAUGUGAAGGUUCCCAGGCCAGGGAUCAAACCUGUGCUAUAGCAGUAACCUGAGCCACAGCAGUGACAAUGCUAGAUCUUUAACCCACUGAGCCACCACAGAACUGCUCAUCUUAGUUGCUCUGAAGGUUUUAUCCUGUUUUACAAAAAAGAAGUGUGCAGAUGGAUCAGAUGGAGUUCUCUUGUGGUUCAGUGGGUUGAAGAUCUGGCAUUGACACCUGCAGCGGCUUGGGCCAAAAAAAAAAAAAAAAAGAAGUGGGCAGAGGAAAGUUCAUUGCAAAAUGAUCUGGAUAAACCAGGGAUCUGAAUUACCAUAGCACUUUGAAUCCCCGGCCAAAAGGAGCUGUCUCAUUUAUUCCUUUAUUUAAAUCAAUCAAUCAAUCAAUCACUAAGGUCUGUUUAGGAAUAACUUCCUUUUUGGAUCCAAACUGUUCUGUUGGAUUACCAGAGCUACAGGAGAAAAAGCAAAGCCUAAAAUGGGAACCCAGAAGCAAGGGUUCCAUCAGACUAAAAUUUUAAUCUGUGAGUAAAUGAGCAAGCAUACAAGUAGUCAGUGCCAUGCAAAUCACAUUGAGUACUGUGGAUUUCUUUUUUUUUUUUUUUUUUUUUUUUGUCUUUUUUUUUGUCUUUUUGCCUUUUUCUGGAGCCGCAUCUGCGGCAUAUGGAGGUUCCCAGGCUAGGGAAAAGACAAAAAAAAAAAAAAAAAAAAAAAAAAUUUGGAACUGCUCCUUGGGCAUAAGACAAUAUGAAUUCCCUAUGUGGAAGAUACAAAAUUCUAUUUAUAAUUACUUUUCAUUAGGUUGUUCUCCGUAGAUAUGGAGAGGUCGAUUAUGAGGCCAUUGCCUAGACAAAAGAUGCUUGGCUUAGAUGAGGCUGGUGGCAGUAGAGGUAAAAGGCAUUGGAGAGAGUGAGAGAUAUUUAGGUGUAGGCCAGCAACUGCAGCUCUGUUUAGACCCCUAGCCUGGGAACCUCCAUAUGCUGAGGGUGCAGCCCUAAAAAUAAAUAAAUAAAUAAAAUAAAGAACACAGACUGAGAAGUCAAGAUACCUUUGCUCAAUGUUAGCCUUACGUACAUGGUGUGUGAUAUCCACAAGUCCUCUGACCUCCUGAUUUCCUCAGUGUGAAAAGCAGAUAGUAGGAGCUUCUUGUGAGGAUUAAAUGAAUUGAUGUAAAGCACUUAUUUCAACCCUACUGCAUGGUAAACCCUUAGUAAGUGUGAGCUGUUUUUUUUUUACCUUUACUGAUAGGAAACAUUUAAAGAUGACCCAGUUUGAAAGGCAAGGGACCAACUAUAAUGGAAGAAAUAAAAAUCAU
ensembl:lncRNA